UGUGCCUUAUUUAUGAUAGUUUAAAACCAGUCGGGUAAGGAUUGGGGCCUGCAUUGCUCCAGAAGCGGGACUCCACUUGGCUGGCAGUGGCUAAUUCAACACAGGUCUGAAAGGCACAAGGAAAAGAGCUGGUGACCCAGACGAUGUGCUUUUACUGUAGAGAUGAUCUGUGUGCCAGCCUGGGAGAAGAGCGUCUGGCUGGGAAGUCAGUCGGUGAUUCGAGGUCUGGGGUCUGUGUGAACACAGGCUUCUUAAGGCAGUGCUGAAGAUCAACUCAUCGCUGAAGCAUCGCCUCAUGUUUGGUUUGAGCUCAUCCUGCUGCUUGUUACUCUCUCCAAGAGUUUUUGUAUUACCUGUGUUUUUGUAUUUACCUGUUUGCAGAAAACAGUCUCCAGCACGUUUUUGCCUGCUGCCC